GGCUUGAAAAGGUGAAAAGACUACAUAAAGGCUUUCCAACCCUUUGAAUUCUCAUUAUAAUGCUCUGGCUAGUUGGCUUGUAACCAAAUGAGCAGAGCACUCUGACAGACAAGUCUUACUUCUCUAGAGAGCUAGGGAGAGAGAAUAACUCUGAUUGGAUUGUUUACAAAGUCCCACCCCCUUAUAUUAUAAUAGCCCCCACCCACUGAUCAUGACUAGGGGCAGAAAGGGGCAUUAGUAUGUCCUCCCUGUUUUCUUUUAUUAAAUACCAUCUAUCACGACCCCACGAGUGAUUGCAGGGGCGUGAACAGUGAUCUAACCGCCUCCCAUUAUUUAUUUAUUAUUUUUAUGAGUGGUGUCACAGAGGGGACUAUAACCCCACCACUUUCCCCCCAAUUAUUUUACAGACCCCACUCUCAUUGGAUGGUGCAUUUCUAGUGACUGGUCAACACUGGCUGCCCAGUCACAAGUUUCAAACAUUUGUUUGAUAUGCGCCCAAAUGGCAGAUGGGGGCAUAGAGAGGCUAAAACCUUCUUUAUAGUAAUAUGCAGGUCUUACUGACCCCAUUGGCUUUUAAAAAUAUAUAUUUAAACCUUGCCUGCCAUUACAGUAUUAACCCUCGCAUUGCAGAAAAAGCUAAAUGUUUUCAAAACCAGUGCUUUGUAUAGGAUUUGGAUUUGAAAGCACCAAUUAUAAUCCAGACAUAAAAUUCAUGCCGUUGAUUUCUGCAGAUUAACUCGGAUCAACCGAAUUCUGAACAUAUUCAGCUUUAGUAAAUGUGAAAAUUUACUUUUCAGUCAGGAUUUAGUAAUAUUACUGGAUUGUGUCCACCUCUGAUGCUCCUAAACUAUCAGUAGCUUCCUAUUCACAAAAUGGAGUGAUAUAGGUACUUUAUUCCGAUGAAGCUUUAUGGUGUAAAUCCUAAUCUAAAUAUAAUUAAACAGGUUUUUUAGUACCAUAAAACCACAAUCUCUUCCAAGGGUAAGUGUUCUCAUUAGAGAUUUCCCCAUUUAUCAGAAAGCAGCAAGAUGGAUUGUUAACCACUGGCAGAUCCGGGGGGGGCAAUGGGGCAAUUGCCCCCCAACCCCACCGAGGCUCUCCCCUGCCGGCUAAUGCAGGGCUGGCACUGUCCAGGCGCCAGCCCUGCAUUGUGCCUUCAAGGACCAGAGGGGAGAUCAGAGAUCUCCCUCCCCGGUCUGCACAUUGCCAAGGGAGGGAGAGAGGACCCAGGAAUUCAGCCUGCAGCUCCUCCAGGUUCUUCUCUCGAGCACGGAGCGUUCCCGCGGUUACCACGGAGCUACGGGCUAGAGUUCACUCUCACCACUGGGACCACCUGGGCUUCCCCACAGACCACCAGGGAUCGAUAAAUGCAAGAAGGGAGGGG